rnacentral:lncRNA from 1 species
AUGAGCGGCCCGAGCAGAACCGAGCCCCGGCGGGCGUUCCGCAGGCGGGAGCGCGCACCGGGGGCCGCCGCCCGGCGGGAGCGCGCACCGGGGGCCGCCGCCCGGCGGGAGCGCGCACCGGGGGCCGCCGCACUCGCAGCGCCGCUCCGUGUCCGCCAGAGGGCGCCCCUCUCGGGCGGCGCUGAGGGAGCGGCGCCCCUGAGGGGUCCCGGGGCCGGCCCGGGCGGUCCCCGCGCCCCGCCCGCUUCCAGCCGCGAUCCAGCGCCGGCUCCGGGAAAGCGCCGCCUCCUGCCGGGCCCGGCCCCGGCACAGCCCCGGCUCCCCGCGGCCGCGGCGGGACCUGCCCGGAGCCCCGGCGGGAGCGCAGCCCCGCACCGGCCGCGGUCCGAGCGGGAGCGGCAGCGCCGGGCUCGGUCCGCGCCCGUCCCGGAGCGGCUCCGCCUCCCCGCGGCGAUUCCUGUCCCGAUCCCUGCCCCAAUCCCGCCCCGGUCUUGCGGCUCCAGGACCCGCAGCCCACUCGCCCCGGGACCCCCAGCAGACACCGGCAGGACCCGGACCCAUAUUCCCCGGCCCGGGUCCCGUUCCCGGCCCCACCUCAGCGCCGCGAGCUCCGCACAGCACCGGCAGCAGCCCCGGCCCAGGGCCCGCACAGCGCUCCGAGCGCCGGUCCCGCCGCAUCCCGGGCUGCUCCCGCCAGAGCUCCCCACAGCCACUGCCAUUCCUGAACAGGAGCUAUGGAAGACACUCCUGCAGUCCAUGAGGGUGAGGAGGCAGUUUGGGAAGUUCUUUGCUGUGCAAUCAGAGCAGAGAGUGUCAAUGAUCCUGUGCUCCCUUCCAAGCCAAAGCAGCCCGUGAUUCCAUGGCAUGAGCAGCACCUCUCCCGGCUCCAUUCCAGAAACAUCCUCCCACUAACCCAGGACUUUUCUUUUUCUGCAUCACACCAGGGAUGCGCUGCCGAGUGCGCCAGGCAGGGGACGCCUCAGCAUUCCCGGGAUGUCUCAGCAUUCCCCGCGAUACGCCAAUAUUCCCGGGAUCUCUCAGCAUUCCCGGGAGUUCUCAGCAUUCCCAGCGAUGCCCCAGCAUUCCCAGGAUCUCUCAGCAUUCCCGGGAUCUCUCAGCAUUCCCGGGACGCCGCUCCACGCCGGCCCCGCGGCCCCGCGCCGUGCCGGGCUGCAGUGCUGGGCGCUCCCCACGGGGCGGCAGCACCGGGCGCUCCCGGCCCGGCCGCUCCCGCUGUCCCGGGCCGGUCCCGGCCGCUCCCGCUGUCCCGGGCCGGUCCCGCUGUCCCGGGCCGCUCCCGGCCGCUCCCGCUGUCCCGGGCCGGUCCCGCUGUCCCGGGCCGCUCCCGCUGUCCCGGGCCGCUCCCGCUGUCCCGGGUCGGUCCCGGCCGCUCCCGCUGUCCCGGGCCGGUCCCGGCUUUAACCCGCCCGGACCCGGCGGGGCCGCGGACACCGCGGGCACAGCCCCGCUGAUGCCCUGGAUUUCACCCGCCACGGCACAGGAUCGCAGCAGUUCCCGAGCCGGAACGGACCCACGGGCAGCAUCGAACCCAAAUCCUGGCCCCGCACAGGACCCCAGGAAUUCCCCCCUGUGCCCGGGAGCCUCGUCCAGACCCCGGCUCUUCCCCCAGGAUCCUGAAAACACAGCGGGGCUGGGAGAAGGAUGACGACGGGCUUUUAAGAUACACAUCUCGUUAUACGGUCGUUCUAUAGAUCCGUUCUGUAUCCUUAUCGGUAAUCCUACAAUCAACAUGUCCCUUAUAUCCCGCUACACAUCCUUACACGUCGCCUUCACUGCGGUGACUCCAGUGACCGACGGAGCCCCGCCUGACCGCCCCUGCCAUUCCCGCACAGCCCGGGUUUCCUUCCCGGCUCCAGCCCUGCAUUCCCGCGGCAGUCUCAGGUGUCUCGUUCCAUAAAGCAAAUUAAUCACAGCAACACAGAGCCAGCCCGAGCCGGUCCCUCCGGAGAGCACCGACCGCCUCAUCCUUACCCCAAGCUGUGCAUUCUCUCCCCUGCACAUUAACUCAGAUUGUGUCCCAAAAUGUUCAUUUUGGCCCCUCCGGAAUCCGCCCCAGAGCGACGCCCCGGGCCCCGCUCGGCCGAGGCGGCUCCGGUGUCCCCUGUCCGCAGCUCCCGCUGCUGCCGCCUUCCCGCUCCGUGUCCCGGGAGGGGACAGAGAUCCCUGUGUCCCGGGACAGCGAUCCCUGUGCCGGGACAGCCAUCCCUGUGCCGGGACACCGAUCCCUGUGCCGGGACAGCCAUCCCUGUGCCGGGACAGCGAUCCCCGUGCCGGGACUGCCAUCCCUGUACCGGGACACCCAUCCCUGUGCCGGGACACCGAUCCCUGUGCCGGGACACCCAUCCCUGUACCGGGACACCCAUCCCUGUGCCGGGACACCGAUCCCUGUGCCGGGACAGCGAUCCCUGUGCCGGGACACCGAUCCCCGUGCUGAGGCAGCGACCGGCGAGGCCCCCGUUCCCCGCUCACCUCCGAGCCCGCCACCGCUGCUCCCCGGGCUCCGCCGCUGCCGCUCCCGGCUCCGCGCUUGCGCUCCGGCGUUUCUUUCCGGGAAACUUUAUCCCGGCCUUGGCCCCGAAUAGAGAAAUAUAUUUGUAUUUUUAAACCCUCUAGCUCCGUAAUCAGAAUUCCUUACAGUGUAUAUCCUGUCUAUAACACAGCAGACACAAGGUUUUAUUUCUGAAUCGGUUUUUAAAUGCAUUAAAAUUUCCCAGAAUAUAAAAAAUGGGAAUAUUUGCAGUUCUCAGUAUUUUACACACAAAGCCCUCUUGAAUUUUCAGGCAUUUUGCGGCUGUAACCUCCCUUUUUUGGAGGGAUCUCACUUGGGCCCCCUCAUCCCUCACUCACCUGGUCUCCACCACAAUGGACUGUGCCAAGUGACACCAUCACCCUCCAGACUCCCUUUUUCCUCCUUGCCUACAGAAGGCACAGGGAACAUCCCCGAGGAUGGUGCCUUGUCCUGAAUUGUCCCACAGGACGCUGCAAAGUGCUUGAGGAGGGCAAACCCCACUCAGCAGCCACCAAAUCUCCCGGGUGUUAUCUGCACCAUUACCAUUCUGAAUCCAAAUCCAGCAAAGAAAAAGUUCCCUAUCCCGGUUAAAUCCAGCACAGCAGCCAGCACAACCUGUCCCUGCUCAUCUAACAGCUGGACACCUCCAGAAGGAUUCUGUGAAGGACAGAGACAAAACUCCUACUAUAAUCCCCAAAAUGAACAGGCUUUCCCUUCCCAUCACCUCUGAGCUGGGAGACCUUAUGGCAGCAGGAUAAGAAACCAGUUAGACAGGAAUUUCUCUCCUAUCCUGAGCUGCCUGUGCCUGACGCAGGCACUGUCCUUGAAUUGUUUUCCCAGCAGAUCCAGUAUGAUCUUCUCCAACAUUUUUCUUGGCACUGUAGUUAGAUCAUCAGGGCUGGAGUUUCCUGGAAAAGUCCAAGUGGGAUACAGCUGGAGAAUGCCCAGCCAGCAAUGGAGCCCCUCAGGCUUCCAGGACCUUGGGUGGAAGAUUGAGGUGGUACCUUCUGGGACAUACUGGGAUGAAUCCCAAACAACAUCACAGCCUCGUGGAUACUGAAGUGGUCUAAGUGGUCCCCAGUUGAUCUCAAAUGGAAAAUCUCUGCCCUCCCUCCCCCACUGUACACACAGAUAAGCCAGCAGUGCCUGGCAGACCCAGGGUGGCUGCGGGAAGGCAGGUGACAGGACAAGGACACUGGGAACAGCUAAAAGCAGAGAGGACGCCCAGAGAGCCGAAUUCCACAGGACUCUGCCACCCUGAGUG